rnacentral:rRNA from 1 species
AUUGAACGCUGGCGGCAGGCCUAACACAUGCAAGUCGAAUGGUAACAGGAAACAGCUUGCUGUUUCGCUGACGAGUGGCGGACGGGUGAGUAAUGUCUGGGAAACUGCCUGAUGGAGGGGGAUAACUACUGGAAACGGUAGCUAAUACCGCAUAACGUCGCAAGACCAAAGGGGGGGACCUUCGGGCCUCUUGCCAUCAGAUGUGCCCAGAUGGGAUUAGCUAGUAGGUGGGGUAACGGCUCACCUAGGCGACGAUCCCUAGCUGGUCUGAGAGGAUGACCAGCCACACUGGAACUGAGACACGGUCCAGACUCCUACGGGAGGCAGCAGUGGGGAAUAUUGCACAAUGGGCGCAAGCCUGAUGCAGCCAUGCCGCGUGUAUGAAGAAGGCCUUCGGGUUGUAAAGUACUUUCAGCGGGGAGGAAGGGAGUAAAGUUAAUACCUUUGCUCAUUGACGUUACCCGCAGAAGAAGCACCGGCUAACUCCGUG